rfam:Camelus ferus unplaced genomic scaffold scaffold47321, whole genome shotgun sequence.
GGGGAUAUAGCUCAAUGGUAGAGCACAUGCUUAGCAUGUGUGAGGUUCUAGGUUCAAUCCCCAGUACCUCCA